CACGAAGAAUCCCGAGCAAAGUUUCCCUCUCAUUUUCCAUCAAAUCAUGUGAAGUGCCAAAUUGAAGAGCAGCUCUUGCAACGCAAGAAUUGUCACUUUGAUUCUCUGCUCCAUACUUGCAACAAUCUUCAGCCAACUUUCUCGCUACAAUAUUUGAAUACAAAAAUAUUGUACACAAGAACUAUAAAAAACUAAUGAAAAAUGCCAAGAUGGAGCAGAUGCUUCAAUACUGCCCGUACAAACCAUAAAAAACUAAUGAAAAAUAAAUAAAAUCAAGAAAUUUUACUAAUUAAAAGUCUAAAUAUAAUUUUGAAAAAAGAAAAGAAACGGACUUGCUGCUGCUUGGCGACUUGUUCUCGGAGCUUGAUUGCUUGUUUCUUGAUAGCUUCCAUACUGUUUCUUUCAAAAAGCGACGACGGCUCAGCUCAUGGAAGUGGAAAAAAAAAGUGUGAUCGAGAAAAAUGAAAAGGCGUGAAUAAUUUUUGACAAAAAGCGAAAAUCAAGGAAAGCCGGCUCUUUCCAGAAAAUAAAAAAA
rnacentral:lncRNA from 1 species